GACGAACGCUGGCGGCGUGCUUAACACAUGCAAGUCGAACGGAAAGGCCCUGCUUUUGCGGGGUGCUCGAGUGGCGAACGGGUGAGUAACACGUGAGUAACCUGCCCUUGACUUUGGGAUAACUUCAGGAAACUGGGGCUAAUACCGGAUAGGAGCUCCUGCUGCAUGGUGGGGGUUGGAAAGUUUCGGCGGUUGGGGAUGGACUCGCGGCUUAUCAGCUUGUUGGUGGGGUAGUGGCUUACCAAGGCUUUGACGGGUAGCCGGCCUGAGAGGGUGACCGGGCACAUUGGGACUGCGGUACGGCCCAGACGCCUACGGGAGGCAGCGGUGGGGAGUAUUGCGCAGUGGGCGGAAGCCUGAUGCAGCAACGCCGCGUGCGGGAUGACGGCCUUCGGGUUGUGAACCGCUUUCGCCUGUGACGAAGCGUGAGUGACGGUAAUGGGUAAAGAAGCACCGGCUAACUACGUG
rnacentral:rRNA from 1 species